rnacentral:rRNA from 1 species
GAUGAACGCUGGCGGCGUGCCUAAUACAUGCAAGUCGAGCGAACGGACGAGAAGCUUGCUUCUCUGAUGUUAGCGGCGGACGGGUGAGUAACACGUGGAUAACCUACCUAUAAGACUGGGAUAACUUCGGGAAACCGGAGCUAAUACCGGAUAAUAUUUUGAACCGCAUGGUUCAAAAGUGAAAGACGGUCUUGCUGUCACUUAUCGAUGGAUCCGCGCUGCAUUAGCUAGUUGGUAAGGUAACGGCUUACCAAGGCAACGAUGCAUAGCCGACCUGAGAGGGGGAUCGGCCACACUGGAACUGAGACACGGUCCAGACUCCUACGGGAGGCAGCAGUAGGGAAUCUUCCGCAAUGGGCGAAAGCCUGACGGAGCAACGCCGCGUGAGUGAUGAAGGUCUUCGGAGCGUAAAACUCUGUUAUUAGGGAAGAACAGAUGUGUAAGUAACUGUGCACAUCUUGACGGUACCUAAUCAGAAAGCCACGGCUAACUACGUG